rnacentral:rRNA from 1 species
CCUACGGGAGGCAGCAGUGAGGAAUAUUGGUCAAUGGGCUUACGCCUGAACCAGCCAAGUCGCGUGAGGGAAGACUGCCCUAUGGGUUGUAAACCUCUUUUGUCAGGGAGCAACGCCGGCUACGUGUAGCCGGACUGAGAGUACCUGAAGAAAAAGCAUCGGCUAACUCCGUGCCAGCAGCCGCGGUAAUACGGAGGGUGCGAGCGUUAAUCGGAAUUACUGGGCGUAAAGCGCACGUAGGCUGUAUGACAAGUCAAGGGUGAAAUGCCACGGCUCAACCGUGGAACUGCCUUUGAAACUGUCAAACUGGAGUAUGUGAGAGGGCGGCGGAAUUCCUGGUGUAGGAGUGAAAUCCGUAGAUAUCAGGAGGAACAUCAGUGGCGAAGGCGGCCGCCUGGCACAAAACUGACGCUGAGGUGCGAAAGCGUGGGUAGCAAACAGGAUUAGAUACCCUGGUAGUC